rnacentral:rRNA from 1 species
UACGUAGGGCGCAAGCGUUGUCCGGAAUUAUUGGGCGUAAAGAGCUCGUAGGCGGCCUGUUACGUCUGCUGUGAAAUCCCGGGGCUUAACCCCGGGCGUGCAGUGGAUACGGGCAGGCUGGAGGCAGGCAGGGGAGAACGGAAUUCCCGGUGUAGCGGUGAAAUGCGCAGAUAUCAGGAGGAACACCGGUGGCGAAGGCGGUGGGCUGGGCCGGCACUGACGCUGAGGAGCGAAAGCGUGGGGAGCGAACAGG